AGAGUUUGAUCAUGGCUCAGGAUGAACGCUAGCUACAGGCUUAACACAUGCAAGUCGAGGGGCAGCAUGUUGGUUGCUUGCAACCAAUGAUGGCGACCGGCGCACGGGUGAGUAACGCGUAUCCAACCUACCCUUGUCCAUCGGAUAACCCGUCGAAAGGCGGCCUAACACGAUAUGCGGUUCACAGCAGGCAUCUAAGGUGAACGAAAUGUGAAGGAGAAGGAUGGGGAUGCGUCUGAUUAGCUUGUUGGCGGGGUAACGGCCACAAGGCUACGAUCAGUAGGGGUUCUGAGAGGAAGUCCCCCAAGUUGGAACUGAGACACGGUCCAAACUCCGUACGGGAGCA
rnacentral:rRNA from 1 species